ensembl:lncRNA
GUUUCGUUUUACGACAGUUCUGUCUGUGCUCGAUAGAGAAGCAUACAGUUUUCUUACCUGCGUCCAGCAAGAAUUACAAUUAUCUUAGCCAGCCGCAUUUUUCCUGUCUGUGGAAUUAUAUUUUGGAGAACAAAAUAAACCGGAGAGUUUAUAUUUUUUCUUUAAUCAUGACGUGUCCGGAGUGGAUCUGUGGGAUCGGGCAGCUGAGCUAACUGCGAGCAUUGCAUGUGGAAAUACUUUCUUGCAAACGAGACUCAGUUUCCUGAUGAGUCCAGCAGGAGGCAGAGUUGUUCUCAGACUGAUCAGCUGUCAGAGGAACAGGAGAAUAAAACAUCCAGAUGUUCAGUAGAAGGUGAAGCUGCUGUUAAUGAACCAGAGCAGCAGCUCAGAGACCUUCAGAUGAUGUCAGAGAAGCAGCGUCGCCAUGGAAACCGUCUCCCUGAUCCCGGAGCUGAGGAUGUGACGGUUCUUCAGGUGGAGCCUCCAGACCUCCAGGUGUCUCCUCCUCCUGGACGUGUGACCAGCUGGCAGGAAGCAGGAGGUUCAGGAGGUUCCAGCUGAUUGGAGCCUGAAGAACAGAAUCCACAGUCUGGAUUUCCCUGAUCCUGAUCCUGAUCCUGAUCCUGAUCCUGAACCUGAUCCCGAUCCCGAUCCCGGUCCCGGUCCCGAUCCCGAUCCCGAACCCGAUCCCGAUCCCUAUCCUGAACCUGAUCCUGAUCCUGAUCCUGAUCCUGAACCUGAACCUGAUCCUGAUCCUGAACCUGAACCUGAACCUGAACCUGAACCUGAUCC